CGGGGUGCAGCAGGCGCGAAAACUUUGCAAUGCGGGAAACCGUGACAAGGGAACUCUGAGUGCCCGUUAAAUCGGGCUGUCCAUCGGUGUAAAAAACCGGUGAAGAAAGGGCCGGGCAAGACCGGUGCCAGCCGCCGCGGUAAUACCGGCGGCUCGAGUGGUGGCCACUAUUACUGGGCUUAAAGCGUUCGUAGCUGGUUUGUUAAGUCUCUGGGGAAAUCUUCCGGCUCAACCGGAAGGCGUCUCAGGGAUACUGGCAGACUAGGGACCGGGAGAGGUGAGAGGUACUCCAGGGGUAGGAGUGAAAUCCUGUAAUCCUUGGGGGACCACCUGUGGCGAAGGCGUCUCACCAGAACGGCUCCGACAGUGAGGGACGAAAGCUGGGGGAGCAAACCGGAUUAGAUACCCGGGUAGUCCCAGCUGUAAACGAUGCGCGUUAGGUGUAUCGGUGACCACGAGUCACCGAGGUGCCGAAGAGAAAUCGUGAAACGUGCCGCCUGGGAAGUACGGUCGCAAGGCUGAAACUUAAAGGAAUUGGCGGGGGAGCACAAGGGCGAAUUCGCG
rnacentral:rRNA from 1 species